rnacentral:rRNA from 1 species
CUUGCUUCUCUUGAGAGCGGCGGACGGGUGAGUAAUGCCUAGGAAUCUGCCUGGUAGUGGGGGAUAACGUUCGGAAACGGACGCUAAUACCGCAUACGUCCUACGGGAGAAAGCAGGGGACCUUCGGGCCUUGCGCUAUCAGAUGAGCCUAGGUCGGAUUAGCUAGUUGGUGGGGUAAUGGCUCACCAAGGCGACGAUCCGUAACUGGUCUGAGAGGAUGAUCAGUCACACUGGAACUGAGACACGGUCCAGACUCCUACGGGAGGCAGCAGUGGGGAAUAUUGGACAAUGGGCGAAAGCCUGAUCCAGCCAUGCCGCGUGUGUGAAGAAGGUCUUCGGAUUGUAAAGCACUUUAAGUUGGGAGGAAGGGUUGUAGAUUAAUACUCUGCAAUUUUGACGUUACCGACAGAAUAAGCACCGGCUAACUCUGUGCCAGCAGCCGCGGUAAUACAGAGGGUGCAAGCGUUAAUCGGAAUUACUGGGCGUAAAGCGCGCGUAGGUGGUUUGUUAAGUUGGAUGUGAAAUCCCCGGGCUCAACCUGGGAACUGCAUUCAAAACUGACUGACUAGAGUAUGGUAGAGGGUGGUGGAAUUUCCUGUGUAGCGGUGAAAUGCGUAGAUAUAGGAAGGAACACCAGUGGCGAAGGCGACCACCUGGACUAAUACUGACACUG